AGUGAACGCUGGCGGUAGGCCUAACACAUGCAAGUCGAACGGCAGCACAGUAAGAGCUUGCUCUUACGGGUGGCGAGUGGCGGACGGGUGAGGAAUACAUCGGAAUCUACUUUUUCGUGGGGGAUAACGUAGGGAAACUUACGCUAAUACCGCAUACGACCUACGGGUGAAAGCAGUGGAUCUUCUGACCUUGCGCGAUUGAAUGAGCCGAUGUCGGAUUAGCUAGUUGGCGGGGUAAAGGCCCACCAAGGCGACGAUCCGUAGCUGGUCUGAGAGGAUGAUCAGCCACACUGGAACUGAGACACGGUCCAGACUCCUACGGGAGGCAGCAGUGGGGAAUAUUGGGCAAUGGGCGCAAGCCUGAUCCAGCCAUACCGCGUGGGUGAAGAAGGCCUUCGGGUUGUAAAGCCCUUUUGUUGGGAAAGAAAAGCAGCAGGUUAAUACCCCGCUGUUCUGACGGUACCCAAAGAAUAAGCACCGGCUAACUUCGUG
rnacentral:rRNA from 1 species